GGCAGACUCCUGGGCUAACAGCCCAAGGGACGCACCUCAGUGGCCCCCACCUGUGUCCCUAUCAGCACGCCUGGACCAGCUCAGAACAACGGCCCCCACCAAUGUCUCAGUCUCCGGAGAGGACCCUCCUCUCACCAAGAUGCCCCCAGAGCCCACCAGUUGAGGAAAAAAACCCAAUAUGGAACAAAUACAGCAACCUUCUCCUUGUCUUCCUGGAACGAAAGUUGAGGCUGGAUCAUAAAUUAUUUAGUAGUACAUCCUUUUUCUUUGGAAUCCAGAAAGCACCUACCAAUAUUUUGGAUAUACUGACACAAAUUCACCACGGCCUUCACUCACUUUUCUCCUUCUCCCUGACCAAGAUGUGAGAAUCAAGAUACACUGCAGCAGAGUAGCAAACCCCAUCGGCUCAGCCAUUCUGACUCUCAUAUUGCUUUGGGCGGUUACCACGAUGCUCACCCUUGCGGAUAUAGACACCCGUGAUUCCUGCAUUACUAAUAUGAUCUCAUCUCUUAUCUAAACUCCUUUGAUGGAACUGGUGGAGAAGUGAUAACCUCUGAAUCAAAGGAAUCUCAAACCACAAGACUCACUGACUAUAAGCAAAAUGACGAUAAAUUUUUAGAGAGGCAGAAGUUUCUUACUUAGGAUUAUUAAAGAAUAUGCUAAAGAAAGAUAAGCAACUUGAGCAGUUACUAAAUAUAUCAAGCACACAUGGGGCUGAGAUAUGUGGGGUGAUUCGCAGCUGAACAAACAAAAUGACUAUUUCUGUAGGGACCCUGAGUAUUUGGUGCUUUGUGAUUGAUGACGCACCCUACUAUUUAAGGAGUGAAGGAGAAUUAUCCUAUCUCAAGUUCAGAAUAGAUUUUUCUCUUCAAGAGAAAAUUAUUUUUAAAUAUUUGAAUGGCGCUUGAGUAAAAUAUGUCUAUCAUAAAAGUUAUCUAACAAUUUACAUUGCCACCAAGAUGACACAGCCUAAGAGCUGUGAUGACAUCAGAGGAAAAUAGAUAUAAUCUAUACAGUACAAGGAACUUCAUUUUUCUUCUUCUGCAAGAAACUGGCUCCAUUACAGUGAUAGUGAUUUUCAGAAAAUGGAUAGUUAUUGAGGUGAGAUUACUUAUGAGGGGAAUGUAGAUUAUUCAGGUGAAAAAGAAUGUAGAGGGGGCCAGCUCUGUGGCCAAGUGGUUAAGUUUGCACGCUCCAAUGCGGUGGCCCAGGGUUCGGAUCCUGGGCGCCGACAUGGCACCGCUCGUCAGGCCACGUUGAGGUGGCGUCCCACAUCCCGCCACAACUAGAAGGACCUGCAACUAAGAUAUACAAAUUUCCUAGAUUGUAUGAUCACCGUAAAAGAGCAGACAAAGCAUAUACUUAUUGGCCCUGUUGUCAUCACUGAACCAAAAUCCACAUGGGAGAAGAUAAAGUAAGAAACAACUUCAAAUUAAAACUAACUUUGAUAAUCAGUAAGGACUAGUCUCAAUACCGUCCAGAGGAGGAAUCACCAGAGCUCAAGUCAAAGUCCAUGAAGACUUCCAUGACCCAGCCACCUGCCAUGUUGUGAGUUGUCCUAUGGAGAGGCCACGUGAACAAGGAAUGAGGGAGAUCUCCAGCUAACAGUCUGUGAGGAGCUGAAUCCUUUCAACAACCAAACGAGUGAGCCUGGAAAUUGGUCCUUCUCUAGUUGAGCCUUGAGAUGACUGUAGCCAUAGUCAAUACUUUGAUUGUAGCCUUGUGAGACACCCAGAGUCAGAAAACCCAGCUAAACCACGCCCAGCUUCCUGACUCACAAAAACAAUGAGAUACAAAGCCUGUACUGUGUAAGUUGAUACAUUUGGG
rnacentral:lncRNA from 1 species